GACGAACGCUGGCGGCGUGCUUAACACAUGCAAGUCGAGCGGUAAGGCCCUUUCGGGGUACGACGAGCGGCGAACGGGUGAGUAACACGUGGGUGACCUCGCCCUCAGCUCUGGGAUAAGCCCGGGAAACUGGGUCUAAUACUGGAUAUGACUCCAUGACGCAUGUUGUGGGGGUGGAAAGCCUUGUGCGGCUGAGGAUGGGCCCGCGGCCUAUCAGCUUGUUGGGUGGGGNGAUGGCCUAACCAAGGCGACGACGGGUAGCCGGCCUGAGAGGGCGACCGGCCACACUGGGACUGAGACACGGCCCAGACUCCUAC
rnacentral:rRNA from 1 species